rnacentral:rRNA from 1 species
UACGUAGGAUGCAAGCGUUGUUCGGAAUUACUGGGCGUAAAGAGUACGUAGGCGGCAAUGAAAGUCUGAUAUUAAAGACUGGGGCUUAACCUCAGGAGUGUAUCGGAAACUUCAUAGCUAGAGGACAGUAGAGGAAGUCGGAAUUCCCAGUGUAGCGGUGAAAUGCGUAGAUAUUGGGAGGAACACCAGUGGCGAAAGCGGACUUCUGGGCUGUUACUGACGCUGAGGUACGAAAGUGUGGGGAGCAAACAGGAUUAGAUACCCUGGUAGUCCACACGGUAAACGAUGGAUACUAGGUGUAACCGGCUUCGACCCCGGUUGUGCCGCAGCUAACGCAUUAAGUAUCCCGCCUGGGGAGUAUGGCCGCAAGGUUGAA